ACUUUUUCUCCGCAUGGGCUGAUACUGGGCCGGUUCGGUUUGUCCUUGGGCAGCUAUUUCCGUGGCCAAAUCCAAAGCUUCUCGUUCGCUGACAUUCUCCAACGUUGGAUGCCGAACGAAUGAACUUGAUUCUGCUCUGCCCCCUGAAAAAAAGGAUUCUGUUGUGGGUCUUCGUAGCCCCCAUCCACUUCCCCUCCCCUUCCCGCACACGCCUCGCACUUCCACACCCCCGACCCCUCAGGUGCGCCGCCUCUGCCAUCGUCACCGGCUCACCGUGGAGAGAGAAAGAGAGUGCUGACGAUGGCAACGACGGCCCAAACGGAUUGCCAAGCACAUCAUGCAAAGUGGAGCCGCUCGGAUCUCUGCCCUUCUAGACCGAGUCUCCAAACCUCGCACGAAAAGAAGGGAUCAUGGCGAUGGCGGCGGCCGGAGUCACUUCCUCCAUCAUCGACAGGUCUGUGUACCUCUCCUCCAUCCGUGCAUCCCCUGUUUUCUAUGAAUCGCUUUCUCGAUCUGGUCUCGGAAGACGAUGUAUGUGAGCCUGCUGCCGCUGCCCCCACGAAGGAAGAGGCGCCCUGAGAGGUUGUCGAGGCCGAAAGCGGCCAGAAGAGAAAGCUCGAGGAGGUCGAUGCGGUCGUGCAGGCGAACGGCGCCGGGAAGGACGCCAACCAACCGUGCGUGGAAGGCAACGUGCAGGUUAAUCUUUCCAUCACCCCACCCCUCUAUAUCCAAGACUUGGUAAUGCUGAUGACCGUUCUGAACAUAUGAGCAGGGACAACGUGAACCUGAAAAACAAAUAAGAAAAUGAGCAUGUACGCUAUUAUGAAAUUUGCAACCCAAACUUAUUAAAGAAUGGAGAUCUCACCUCAUCCACAAGGAGCAAUCCCCGCUCCCUGUUAUAUUAUCAGGGUCAAUUUCGGCUGAUGCUAAUGCCUACAUGGACAAUAUAUACUUGGUUUGCAAACAGCCUGACUGACUGCUGAUUUGGUUGGACCCACAAAUUCGUUCAUGUUACUGGCAUAGAAGAUGCGAUUUCUGGAACCUUUGGAAUCUUUAGAAGCCAUGUAAUAUGACGACUGCUGUUUUCGAAGCUAUGGCACAACACUAGGACAAUAUUACAUUUUUCUUAUACGAUGCAAAGAAAAUGGCUCUGAUAACAAACAAAUGCUCUACAGAUCCACAAGGCCCGCCACGUGGCAGGCACUAAAUUCACAUAGUUUUACUCAUCGAGUACUUAUUGUGAAGGCAGUAUCACUUUGCCAGAAGAAGCUGUGAGGUUCCUCAGACCCCCGAUAUAGCUUAUGUUCUAGGUAUGAUAAUGCUUCUCAGGUAGUCUCUCAAUUUAGUACCAAAAUGGUUGGGACGUUAUGCGGCCUAGCUUCAACAUUCAGUUGUCUUUUUGUGUUGAAUUUUUGACUGGGUUAACAUGAGCUAAUGAAAGUCAGACAUUGUUUCUGCUUGUGUACCCCCAUAUUUUGACACAAAGGUUCAUAACUGGUUUGCUUUUCGUUUUUGCCACAAGCUUUGGUUAAUCAACACAUGCAUGAGCAAUUGAGCGGUAUAUUAUCUCAGGAGUCUUCUUUGCUGUUGCUCAACUCAGAUGUAAUGAUGUGAAGUACAACCACCAAUAUUUAUUUCUGGACUAAAAAUUACUUGGUGCAUGAUGUCCGCCACGCUUUUGAUCUACCUCCACAUCGGUCGUGCCUUUCCCCGCGAAGUGGGACGAGGCUCGAUCACGAUGGCAAAGAGGAGUUUUCCAAGAUGACUCACACCAUGCCAAGAUGUGUUUGUAAAUAAUUAUGCUAGCAGAGAGUUGAAGCUAUCGAAGUAUACUGAAGAGAUGUGAAAUUUACAUCAAAUGGUUCAAGAACUAGCAUCUAAGGCAGCGGAGCUACAGCCUACACUUCUUGUCGUGCUCCCUGUGACCCGCCUACUCAUCUUGAUCCGAAAAUCAAGGGUAAUUGUAAUGUAGUCCCUCUCCUCAUGGUCGUUAUACUUCACGUAUCCUCUCAGCCGAGCCUAUGCAUCUGGGCUGAAGCAUUGUGUAAUGUGCCACAUGUGUUGUGUUUGAAUACCACGCAGAAGAUUCAUGAGGCACUUUCUGUUAAUAAAAUUUGGUAGGACACACGCAUGGAUGCUGCAGUGGAGCAUGAAGUCAUAGACGCACUACAUUAGAGUUAAGAACUCUUGGCACAAGACUUGAAAAGGCAUCCUAUCCUGAAUCUCUUCCUAUGAUAUAUGUGAAUUGACAAAGUAUGUCUUUUUAAGAUUUAGAUCAAUUCUCACGGAAUACUACAUGGAUGUAAAUUUUGUAGUCAUCAAGAAGUUGUCCAUCAACCAAAUACUUAACUUAUUAGGAUGCUUACAUGAAGAACGCAGAAUGCACACAAAUUAUAUGUUGUAUGACAUAGAUAAUACUACAUCAACCUUAUUGGGUCUAUGAAGUGUUUUUCAGUAAGUUGUCCUUGCAAAAUGAUAGUUUGCAUCCCCAGUUUGUGACCUUAUUUACUAUCACACAUUUUACGUAUUGGGUUCGUGGAAGAUGAGACACUGGCAUGUGCUUCCUUCUCCUCGCCCAUGAUCUUGCUAGGAGCAUCAUCGCAACCAUUGCCUAUGGAUCGGCGCCACUCCCUGUUGGCCAUGGCUCCACCAUAAUCUUUGCCUGCUUUAUGAGUCGACGACCAAGCAUGACACCUUCCUCAGGCAACGACAUCCUCCUGUAUUGACGCAAUCGACUCAAUCCUUGACAACGACCUCGCCUCCUCUAUGUCCCCAUAGGUUAGAUAAGCUUCCUCCUGCACUCAACAAGCACUUUCUUGUGUCUCACAUUCGGUCUGAUACUCUUCUGCAAACAAAACCUAUUCCAGUCCAUAUGCCACAUAGCUGCUAGAACUAAAGCAACUAUGCAGAAUUCUGAAGGAUUUACCGAUGUACUUGUAUUUUUUGCUUGAAAUCAUAUGAUCAAUUAAGUUCAGUACUAAAACCUUCAAGCAUUAAUUAUUCGACUCCAUUUAAUGUAUCUUGUGCAUGAUCUAUUGUUGUGAUAUCCGUUUUCCGAAAUAGCUACUUCUCUUUUCAGGUUGAAACCAUUCAGUCCAUAAAGCUCGACACUCUAGGCACUAGAACUUUAGGACUAUCACCACUAUCUGCAUAGACAGAUUUAUGUUGAUAAGAAUUUGUAAGCUACAUUUAACAAAUCUAGCUUCAAAAGAAUUUUGACAGCUAAUUAGAUGCAUAUUUCCUCAUGUUACUACUACUACUCACAAUGUCGAGAGGUUGAAAAUAGUCAAAGUCCUACAGUUAAAUAUGUAAAUAAUGAGUAUACUCUUGCUCCAAUUCCCUUUUGUCCUCCCAGAUUUACCAUAAUUUCUUGGUUGAACUGUGAACUUUUCAAAGAUGGAAAGCAACUACCACCAAUAGUUGUAGCUCGAAGGAACUUCUUGAACAUCUCAAUGAAACAUACAGGGACGGUACAACUUACUAGACAUGGUGAUAGCCGGCGGUGGCGAGGACGACGGUGGGGCUCAUGCAGCCAUGAGUUACAUCUUUGGUGAGGUGUUAUGGGCCACAAAUGUUCUUCCAUGUUUGAUUAUGUGGUUUGCUCUACGAGGAUUUGAUUUGUAGUUUUUGUGAUUGCCAUCAAAAGAGGGAGUUUUGAGUUUUGUCUCAUUCUUAUGAGAGAUGGUAGAGAUCUUGCCUCUUUUUGAUUAUAUAUGUUGAUUGCUUUGCUUAUUACACCAGCAAUCAGGUUCCACUUUUAUGCAAAUGAUAAUUUCAAGGGCAAGAACAUGUAUUUAUCUUGAAAAGGAAAAUUUACCUUCACUUGGAAAUACCAAAGGUGUUUGCAUUAGCAAAUUUGGUUGUAUUUUCAUAUGCUUUUCUUUCCAAAUAUAUUUCUAAUGUGAUUGCAUAGAAAUGAUUAGUUCAAGUUUAAAAUUAUAUCUUCUCUUUUUAUACGGGUUGAUUUCUAUGACCACUUUAAUCUGCUCAAAUCUUAUAAUAUAAUAUAUAUCCCUAGCAUUAAUCUAAGAAAGAGGAUGGAACUGGCAGUAUUAAUACUUUGCAUUCUGCCUUGAGGUUUGCAACACAUCUGUGCAUCUCUGAAUCAUGAUCUUAUUCUCGUUCGUGCGUCGGCUAGCAUGCCUGAAGCUAAGAGUUUGAACCCCUUUUCCAUCGGUACGGA